GCCCAGGUAGCUCAGUCCGGGAGAGCGCCAGACUGAAGAUCUGGCUGUCCCCGGUUCGAAUCCGGGUCUGGGCA
rnacentral:tRNA from 2 species